rnacentral:tRNA from 1 species
GGUGCCGUAGUUCAAUAGAGUAGAGCACUGGACUGUCACUCCAGAGGUUGCGGGUUCGAGUCCCGUCGGUAUCGCCA